GCCAGUGGUGAACUCCACAUACGCAUCCUUUGCUGAGGAUACGGUUAACGGAGCGAAAGCGACGUUCAACCGCAAAAGAAGCAGAGGGGGCUUAGUGGUGGGGUGACUGCGUACCUUUUGUAUAAUGGGUCAGCGACUUAUAUUCUGUAGCAAGGUUAACCGUAUAGGGGAGCCGGAGGGAAACCGAGUCUUAACCGGGCGUUAAGUUGCAGGGUAUAGACCCGAAACCCGGUGAUCUAGCCAUGGGCAGGUUGAAGGUUGGGUAACACUAACUGGAGGACCGAACCGACUAAUGUUGAAAAAUUAGCGGAUGACCUGUGGCUGGGGGUGAAAGGCCAAUCAAACCGGGAGAUAGCUGGUUCUCCCCGAAAGCUAUUUAGGUAGCGCCUCGUGAAUUCAUCUCCGGGGGUAGAGCACUGUUUCGGCUAGGGGGCCAUCCCGGCUUACCAACCCGAUGCAAACUGCGAAUACCGGAGAAUGUUAUCACGGGAGACACACGGCGGGUGCUAACGUCCGUCGUGAAGAGGGAAACAACCCAGACCGCCAGCUAAGGUCCCAAAGUCAUGGUUAAGUGGGAAACGAUGUGGGAAGGCCCAGACAGCCAGGAUGUUGGCUUAGAAGCAGCCAUCAUUUAAAGAAAGCGUAAUAGCUCACUGGUCGAGUCGGCCUGCGCGGAAGAUGUAACGGGGCUAAACCAUG
rnacentral:rRNA from 1 species